rnacentral:lncRNA from 1 species
UUUUUUUUUUUUUUUUUUUUUUUUUUUUUUAAGAAAGGGCCAAAAUGGGGGUUAGAUUAGGUUUUCUUUGUGUUACAAAUAGGGAAAGAAAAUGCUGAUCACAAUGCAAGCAUUUGACAAGAGACCCAAUACCACUGAAACAGCCAAGCUAUUACCAGGAGAGAACUAAAAUGUACGAAAGCUAUUUUUAUAUAAAUUAAGCCAGUUCAGGCUGAUGGUUAGAUUUCACAUUCUCAUGUUUGCAAAAAAUAUGUGAACCCGUUUUAUUUUAACCCUAUUUGGAUCUUCUAAUUUAAUAAAACCUCAUUAAUGCUAAAAGAGGUCAGACCAUUAACAAAAGCUGGUAUUUGAUUCGCCUGCAUGGGAUUAUCCAAUAUUUUUACUAAAGAACAACGGGUUAUCCAAGUCACUGCAAGGUGCAUCCUUCUUUAACUAAUCUGGCGCUGCUUUAAUCAAGUUUGCUUUCAAAUAAUCCUCAGACACCAGAGAUGUCAGUAAACAGAUACAGAGAGCAUACAGCGUAACCUGAUCAAGUCUAAUAUAUUUUUCUUAUAAAUUGAAUUCCCAACUAUACCGUUAAGAUCCGACAGUGGAGAAAAUCUAAGCGUGAGCUAGAGAGAAUUGAUGUGAAACACACAGAAUAGGCAGGAGGCACACAGACAGCUCAUGGGAAAGGCACCCUGUGCCACCGAGCCUGCGAGCAAAAUUCCGUGACGCAGAGCAAAUGGAUACCAGCGAAAGACAGGGGUGUUUCUGUUUGGUGGCUGAGUGUGUUUUUGUUUCUCUAUAUGGUUAGUUUUUUAUAGUUUUUUUUUUUAAGAGGGAGAAGCAGAAAGAGAGAAAACCCUAGAUGAUGACAAAAAUGUUUUCAGCCCCCAUACCCAAAAAACACCAAAAGAGAAGAAAGAGAAUUGUACGACAUCAUUAAACAUCUUUGUGCAGGCAGUAACAGAAAACAGUAAUGCCAAAUUUUAAGUUAAGACUACAGGGCUGAAGGGUCAAAACCCCAGGCUCUAGGGUCAGGUGACCCAGAUGAAGAUCUCAACUACACCACUUGCUGCUGGCUGUGUGAUCUCGGGGGGAAAUUCUGAGUACUCACAACAUCUUCGAUUCUGCGUCCGUCAAUGAGGGGCACGACAACUGCCAUCACCUGAAGGCCAGUGAAGAGUGGAAUCAGUGUGGGAAAGCUCGUGUGUCCACGAACCAGACAUGAGCCACGUGUGACAAAAGGUUCUGCCAAGAGGACAACUUGGAGGAAAAACAGAACCAUGACAAAAGAAGAACAAAAGUGGAAUCCUGCUUUCCUAAAAAGAGUUGAGGAAGAAGCUAGAAGUGGGCACGCAGGCAUAGAGAUGCCAUUACUGUCAUCCAGAGAAUUCCUGGUGAAAGAGCUCCAGUUAAUCAGGAACGUAUGGUAAUCUCCGAAGAAACUCCAAAAGCAAGCAUGAGCGAAAGAACCAGCCUGAAACAUCUGCUAGUUCCAGAAAGUGCUGAGAGCAGCUCAUGACAUUUCCAGUGAAGUAAACACACUCGUACCCCCUGGGGCCCUCCCUGACCCUGAAGAAGGCAGAAGCUGUGGUCAGUAAGAGGAGGGAGGAAAGAGGGAAGGAGGUCGGUCACACUUCUCUCAUGAAGCAAGCUCCCCCCUAUGCAGCGAGCCCCAGAAACCAAGUUCCAAGUUUCAGCAAAUGCACUGGAUGGGUUGGAUAUUCUAAGUACUGAUAUGCAGGUGAGUUUGACCUACAGAGGCUUGAGGACCUUCUGUCACUGAAUAGGUACCAGAAGGUCAAUAGAGCUUUCUAGAAUUUUCGUCCAGAAGCAGCAACAGAGCCAGCCCUGUUUUGCAAAAAAUUUGCAUUGUCUCUAAAGAGACAGCAGAAGACAAAAAUUACUUAAGGAUUACAUCAGACAAAUCAUGCUUUUUACAAAUCAUGCUUUUUCCAUCGUCGCGGUUAAAUGUUUCAAGGUACAGGGUAAUCGUCACAAAUAACCGUGUCCGUUGGGCAUUUACUCGGUGCCAGCACUAUGCUCAUCACUUUCCAGGUGACAUCCCAUUUAACCUUCACGACAGCACCAUGAGCUGGGCACUGUCAUCAUCCUCAUUUUACAGAUAAUAGAAAACUAAUAACUUGCCCAAGGUCAUGAGAGUUAGCUAUCAUGUGAGUUAGCAGAGCUGGGGUGUCAAGCCACGCUGACCAUUCUUUGCUUCUCCUUCAUUUUCGAGGACUUAAGUCACACGAGAGAAACAAUUAAUUACCGUCACUUAUUUAGGGCUUACCUUGAGAUUUACAUAGAUUUGCUCAAACUGCUGUCGACAAGAGCCUACUGUGACCGCACACACUAGGUAGGCCAAGAUUACCCACCCCAUGAAGACAAACCUGGGAUCUGAACCCAGUUUAUCUCCCAAGAUCGCGCUCCAAACCAAUG